ACAAGCGUGGAUGAUGUGGAUUAAUUCGAUGCAACGCGAAGAACCUUACCUACCCUUGACAUGUCCGGAACUUGCCAGAGAUGGCUUGGUGCCCGAAAGGGAAUCGGAACACAGGUGCUGCAUGGCUGUCGUCAGCUCGUGUCGUGAGAUGUUGGGUUAAGUCCCGCAACGAGCGCAACCCUUAUCAUUAGUUGCUACGCAAGGGCACUCUAAUGAGACUGCCGGUGACAAACCGGAGGAAGGUGGGGAUGACGUCAAGUCCUCAUGGCCCUUAUGGGUAGGGCUUCACACGUCAUACAAUGGUCGGUACAGAGGGUUGCCAAGCCGCGAGGCGGAGCCAAUCCCACAAAGCCGAUCGUAGUCCGGAUUGUUCUCUGCAACUCGAGAGCAUGAAGUCGGAAUCGCUAGUAAUCGCAGGUCAGCAUACUGCGGUGAAUACGUUCCCGGGUCUU
rnacentral:rRNA from 1 species